UUUAUUCAUUGCAGAUUUUCUUUUUUAAAAGCUCUGUCCUAUUUGGCUUAUUCCCAGCUCUUUCCCGACAUGGGUGCAGCCGGGUUCUCUGUUGUCAAAUCACCUCACUGCCCAUUGGCAUCUCGCAAGUAUUUGCCAUCCAGAACCCUUGGCUGCUGCAUUUAGCCAAUGGGUCUGGUUCUUUCAUCUGAGAGCUUCUGGGGUUGUUGAUUGGAUAUACUCAAGAAACACUAUCCAGACUGCAGAUUCAGCUUCAUUCCCCACCCCCUCCUCCGGGCACUGUGAGCGUGGGACAGGACGGAGCAGAGGACGGACGGGUGUGGUCUGAGAGGCAGAAUUGCCAAGAAGUUUAGGAGGAUGAGAAGGAUAUGCUCAGCAAAGAGAUAAGCAUGUAAAUCCUAAAUGCAUGGCGUUUACUGGAGUUUGGGACCACACUUCAUGCAAAAACAGCUGAAAGGCAAACCUGUUUACCUGCACAUCCACCAAGGAAGAUAUAAAGAAGUCAUGCCACCUUUCUACUGGUCCUACAAUAGCAAAUGCUGCUUUAAGGAGUUUAGUAUUUGUCGGAAAGUCUGACAGAAUCCAAACAAAAAACCUCUUUAUAGUUUCUUUUAGAGUUUAACUCCUGAGUCAUUUAUUUUUAGGCCCUAUCAAACUUGUACCUAGCAAGGAUGAGGGGAAGCUGAGGCACUUGAGGGGGGGAAAAAAUGAACAAAAAAAUCCUUACAAUCUAACCUCCUUGUUUUAAAGAUUAGAAAAGAGAAAAGCAUUAAGAUCAUUAUGACUUCAGAAUUACAGAAGACAGUCCUAAAAUGAAUUUGGAGCCAGAAGAUACCUAGAAUAGCAAAGCAAUUCUGGGCAAGAAAGGCAAGGCAGGGGAUAUCACCAUCCCUGACUUGAAAUUAUACUGUAAAGCUAUUACGAUAAAAACAGCAUGGUACCAACAAAAAACAAACCCAAGGAUCAAUGGAAGAGAUUAGAAGAUGCAGAAACAACUCCAAACACACUCAGUAAUUUUACCUAUGACAAAGAAACUAAAAACCUUUCUUGGAAGAAAGCUAGCCUCUUUAAUAAAUGGUGCUGUAAAAACUGCUUUCCACAUGCCAAAGAUUAAAACUAGGUGCAUAUCUUUCAUCAUGUACUAAAUGAAAUCAAAAUGGAUUAAAGAUCUAAAUAUUAAAACAGAAACACAAUCUACUAGAAGAGAAAAGUAGAGUUCUUGAAGUCAGGUGUAGGCAGACAUUUUAGGAACAAAACCCCAGUCACACAGGAACUAUCACAAAGAAUCAACUGGGAUCUCAUCUUAUUAUAGAGCUUUUACAUAGCAAAAGAAACCACUAAUAGGGUAAAGAGACAACUUCCAGCAUGGAAAUUAUUUUUACCAGCUGUUCCUCAAAUAAAGGACUGAUAUCUAGAAUAUACAAAGAACUAAAAAAACAAAAUCAGAUUCCCCCCACAAAUUUACAAACCCAUUCCAAAAAUGGGCAUCUGAAAGGAAUAGAUACUUCUCAGCUGAAGUAGAAACAGCAAAUAUAUGAAAAAAUAUUCAACAUCACUGGUCAUUUGAGAGACGCAAAUUAAAACAGUGCUGAGAUUCCAUUUCAUCCCUGAAAGAAUGGCUAUGAUCAAGAAAUCAAUAACACGCUGGCAGGGUUAGGGGGAAAAAGGAACCUUUCUCCACUGCUGGUGGGAAUACAGACUGGUGCAACCACUGUAGAAAUCAGUGUGGAAAUUCCUCAAAAAACUAAAUCCAAAAUUCUACUCAACCCAACUAUUUCCCUUCUUAGUAUCUUCCUGAAUGGUUUAUAUUUUUUUACCAACAGAAUUAAAAGCAUCAUACCACAGCAAUACAUUCACAUUCAUGGUUACAGUAGCACAGUUUGUAAUAUCUAAAUCUUGGAAAUACCCUAAAUGCCCAUCAACUGAUGAACAGAUGAAAUCUUUUUUAAUACAGUGGAGUACUACUCUGCCAUAAAGAAUACCCUCAAGACAUUUCUAGCUAAAUGGAUACAUCUUUUUUUUUUUUUUUUUUUUUUGGUCUUUUUCCUUUUUAUCGGUACCAGGGAUCGAACUCACAAUUACCUGCUUUACAAGGCAGGUGCUUAUGCUGCUGAGCUAAAUCCCCAGCCCCUAAAUGGACACACCUUGAGACCAUACUCUGAAGUGAAAUAAAGCAGACACACAUGCUUAAAUACUGCAUUAUUUCUCUGGUGGGAGAAACUGAAAGUGUCAUAAGGAUUAAAAUGUGUAACAUAUUGUGAAAUAGGAAAAUAUUCAAAUGGGAAGGGCAACUAGGGAGGGGGAAGAGGGAAAGGAAGGGAAAACAAAAAAAUGGAAACAAAGUUUUUGUAAGUAAGGUGGGAAAGAGGAUGAAGGAAGGAGAGAGGAAUGGGACAAAAAGAAGCAAGGUACAUCACGUACAGGUACAAACUCCCUAUGAUGAAUGUGACCAUUAUGUAUACCUGAAAUGUACCAAUAAACUUAAUUAACAAUACAUAGUAGAUAUUGGGAAAACGGGAAGAGAACAAAACGUUCAAAUGAGAAGGUGAACAAAGGAGGAAGGAGGGCAAAAGGAAAGAAAGGACAAGAAAAAAACAAUGGGAAAAAUGGAGACAAAGCUUUUGCAAAAUAUGGAGGGGAAGAGGGGUUGAAGGAAGGGGAAUGGAAAAAAGCAACAUACCAUGUACAGGUACAAAUUCUCCACGACGAAUGUGAUCAUUAGGUCUAUCUAAAAUGUACUGAUAAAAUUUUUAAAAUGCAGACUUUUUUUUUUUUUUGGAGCUGGGGAUCAAAUUCACAACCUUGUGUUUGCCAAGCAGGCACUCACGCCACUGAGCUAAAUCCCCAAAAUUUUAAAAUGCAAAAAAAAAAAAAAAAAAAAAAAAAAAUUACUGUGACGUUUUCUAUGGUCACACUGUCUGGAAAAAGCAAAUCCAAGAGUUAAGGAAUUGCCCUGAUUUGGUCUCUCUUCCUGUCUCCCUUCCACGUUGCCGGGGAUCAAACCCCAAACCUCCUGUGUGCUAGGCAAUUGUUCUCCCACUGUGUAACUAUCACCAGACCUAGGUAUUCUUUAUCUUAGAGGUUCAGCUUCCAUAUUUCCUGUGACAUUUAGUGAUGAAGUGUCUUCUUUCCAGAGUUUAUACUCUUUCCUCAAACUCCUGCUGAACUCUUCACCCAUAUUCUUGAAGUUCUUUAUUUUUUAUUCUUUUGCUGUAGCCUGGUUUCCUGAAGAAAUGACUGUAUUAUUAAAGGUAUGGGUAAAACAA